UCUGCCUUAUCGGCAAGCGGUCCCGCCAGAGUGCCCAACUUAAUGCUGGCAACUGACGGCAAGGGUUGCGCUCGUUGCGGGACUUAACCCAACAUCUCACGACACGAGCUGACGACAGCCAUGCAGCACCUGUCACCGCGUCCCGAAGGAACCCCUGGUUUCCCAGGGUAGCGCGGGAUGUCAAGCCCAGGUAAGGUUUUUCGCGUUGCCUCGAAUUAAACCACAUACUCCACCGCUUGUGCGGGCCCCCGUCAAUUUCUUUGAGUUUUAACCUUGCGGCCGUACUCCCCAGGCGGGUCACUUAACGCGUUAACUACGACACAGGGAGGGCAAGAGCUCCCUACAUCUAGUGACCAUCGUUUACGGCGUGGACUAC
rnacentral:misc_RNA from 1 species